GCACCGCCCCCUCUGUGGGGCGCCGGCCUCUGCAGCUAUUCAGCGGGGGUGUCGCCUCCCAGCAAUCCGUGAGACCUUCCCUCCAUGAGCCUUGCGAGGAGAAUCCUGGAGAAAAUACAAUCCGGCCGAUGCAAACUGGAGGGUUCCCUGAGGAUCAAAACUGCAGGAUAAAGACAACUCAAGCACACAGAAGGUGGUGAAUGUGGAGACCUCUCCCCUUCCAUAGCUUUGAGAUUUCCAUUGGAGAUCUCAGCAAAGGAUUGUCAUCAAAAUUUAUCUCUUUCAGAAACAAAAUACUGAUCAUAGCACUGGAAAAGCUGUCAGAAUGUUCCUAGUAAGGAAAAAUAGCAAUGAAUACACCUUCCUGCAGAAUUAAACUGUAGAAGCAACAGCUACACAUGCAGAGUCUACUGUCUUGAUAAAGUGCCCUAGGACACUCACAAUGCUGACAGUUUCAGGGUUAUUAGUAAUGUCAAUGCUAGGAGGGAAAAGAAGUGUAUACACACUGCUGUGGUUCUCCUGUCUCCUAGGGGUGGCAAAAAUGAGGCCAGAAGAUAUCCUUUUACAACACAGCUGAUGACUUUGCAGAAUAGGCAUUAUCAUUUUUAAAAUAAACUUUUAAAGAAGGUAGAGUUUUAUACAAGUUUCUGUUAUGUUGAGCAUAUUCCCCCAUGGCUCUGACUCUCCUUUUCUUACCCCCACACCACUUUAUUAUCUGUGUUCUCUACAGUGUUACUUUUUUCAUACAUGCAUUUUGGAUUUAUGUAAAACAUAGGAAGCACAAAUGAGAGGAAACACUAUUUGUCUAUGUGAGACUGACUUAAUCCAUUUAAAUGAUCACCCAUUGUGUUCAUUCUCCUGUAAAUGACAUGACUUCAUUCUUUGUGACGAAAGGACUAUUCAGAGUGUACAUCAGUUUUCUUUAUCAAUCCUGUGUGUUGGAUACCAAUGUAGGUUCCAUUACACUUGCUCACACGGGAACACUGCUCGGUGCACAGAGAUGUACUGG
rnacentral:sRNA from 1 species